GGUCAAGUGAAGAAGCGCAUACGGUGGAUGCCUUGGCAGUCAGAGGCGAUGAAAGACGUGGUAGCCUGCGAAAAGCUUCGGGGAGUCGGCAAACAGACUUUGAUCCGGAGAUCUCUGAAUGGGGGAACCCACCUAGGAUAACCUAGGUAUCUUGUACUGAAUCCAUAGGUGCAAGA
rnacentral:rRNA from 1 species